rnacentral:rRNA from 1 species
GACGAACGCUGGCGGCGUGCUUAACACAUGCAAGUCGAACGGAAAGGCCCUGCUUUUGUGGGGUGCUCGAGUGGCGAACGGGUGAGUAACACGUGAGUAACCUGCCCUUGACUUUGGGAUAAUUCAGGAAACUGGGGCUAAUACCGGAUAGGAGCUCCUGCUGCAUGGUGGGGGUUGGAAAGUUUCGGCGGUUGGGGAUGGACUCGCGGCUUAUCAGCUUGUUGGUGGGGUAGUGGCUUACCAAGGCUUUGACGGGUAGCCGGCCUGAGAGGGUGACCGGCCACAUUGGGACUGAGAUACGGCCCAGACUCCUACGGGAGGCAGCAGUGGGGAAUAUUGCACAAUGGGCGGAAGCCUGAUGCAGCAACGCCGCGUGCGGGAUGACGGCCUUCGGGUUGUAAACCGCUUUCGCCUGUGACGAAGCGUGAGUGACGGUAAUGGGUAAAGAAGCACCGGCUAACUACGUG